rnacentral:lncRNA from 1 species
AUGAGCCCUGGCGCCCCGGACCCGGGCCGCGGCUCUCCGUGGCGGAACGCGCCGGGAGGACGGCGCGGGAGAGCUCGAUGGGCGCCCUGGGCUCCAUGGUCUCCGAAGGAGGACGAGGACGGGAGGCCUGAGGAAGCUGGCGGGUGGAGGGCUUACACCCUGCAGAACAAGGAUCUCCGGGGAGAGGGGACGGAGGCCGGGAGGGACGUGGGGCUUCUCACCUGGGGCGGGUGGGUGCUUGUCACCCUCCCGCCCGCUUUCCUCCACUCCUGGGCCAGAGCCGCGUCCAGCACCACGGACAGCUCCCGGGCGCCCGCAUCUCGUCGUUCUCCAGAGGGAGCGCUAGCCGGACAUCGUGACGCUCCGGCGAAUGGGCCCAAAGGGGUCCCUCCAAGCCCUGCCGCCCAGCCCAGGACUCUCUCAAGUCCCCGAUGAUCUUAUGCUCCUCAGCAUUGUCAGGAGUGAGCUGAAUUCAGACUUACUGAGGUCCCCCAGCCUAUGGGCCAGGGAGACUUUGAGCAACAGGGGCUUUUGUCUCGGAGCGCUCAUUCCUUGUUGUACAAGCUUGAGCUGGGAGGAAGGAUGGUUUGGGCAUCAUCCCCCACUGAUAGCAGUGGAGCCUGUAGGCCUGCAGGGAAGGACCAGGCUGAGGCUGGCAUAUGGAGGGAGAGCCCUGGGCACAGGGGCAUGAGCCUCACCCGGCCAGGGCUACCUUCUGCCGGGUUUGUCCAUCUGGCACCAGCUGGCUUUCCAGCGCUGCCCCCACAGCCAACCGGACUCCUUCUGCUUCUGUUGCCAUAGCAACUGGCUGCCAUCUUGUACUCGGGGCACUAUCUCCUAUCUGGAUUUUCCCAUGGGGUUCCUGGAGGAUGGGACGUAGGUCUCCAGCGAUGUAUCCCUUCCUCCUGAUAGCCAUCCGAUAAGAACGGCCACGAUGGGGGCCAACGACAUGUCAGGCUCUGUGCUAAGUACUCCCUAGGUGUUAUUUAAUACGGCAGAGAAAGCCUCCAUGUGAUCAAUUUAAAAGGUUCCCAGUUUCUUGUUUCUAUGACAGACCUUUCCUCUCUCCAACCAGGAAGCACCACGAUCUUGCUUAUUCUGCCUUGCAAGGUCCUUCCCAGUGUCUAACUGAGACCUGUUCUGCUGAAGUACCAGUUCUCUGACCCUGGGCUUGACAUGGCUAGAUGGAGAGGUAAGGAACGGACUGUCACCUGCUUUAGUCACUUUAUUGGGCUUCGUGGACUCCAACUGAUGGCCUAGGGAAACACACAUGGGUACCUUGGUGAGGUCUGAGUGCCCCUUAAAGACUUGGGGACACAAGUCUGCAAUCUUUUGUUCAGAGGGGCACCUGGCUGGCCCAGUCAGUAGAGCAUGCGACUCUUGAUCUCAGGGUCAUGAGUUCAAGCCCCACAUUGGGUGUGGAGGCUACUUACAAUAAAACAAUGAUAAUAAUAAUGAAUGAAUGAAUA